AGCAGCCGCGGUAAUUCCAGCUCCAAUAGCGUAUAUUAAAGUUGCUGCAGUUAAAAGCUCGUAGUUGAAUUUCGGGACCAUCAUGUCGGUCGUGCCUCGGUACGUACUGGCAUUGUUGGUUUCUACCUUCUGACGAACCAUGAUGUCAUUUAUUUGGUGUCGUGGGAAAUCAGGACUGUUACUUUGAAAAAUUGAGUGUUUAAAGCAGGCUCACGCUUGAAUACAUUAGCAUGGAAUAAUGAAAUAGGACGUUUGAUUCUAUUUUGUUGGUUUCUAGGAUCGACGUAAUGAUUAAUAGGGAUAGUUGGGGGCAUUAGUAUUCAAUUGUCAGAGGUGAAAUUCUUGGAUUUAUUGAAGACUAACUACUGUGAAAGCAUUUGCCAAGGAUGU
rnacentral:misc_RNA from 1 species